AUACUGUGUUUGCUGAUCUUAGCUGGAGCAGGGUAUACUAGCACCAUCCUGCUUAAGAAUGGUAAAUUAUCUGACUUGAUCGGUGAACUUCAGUCUUUGUUGAAUGGAACCGGAGAACAAUCAGAAGGUGACUUUGAUGCGAUCGCAUCACAGGUAUUGGAA